GACGUAGGGCGCGAGCGUUGUCCGGAUUUAUUGGGCGUAAAGAGCUCGUAGGCGGCUUGUCGCGUCGUCUGUGAAAUCCCGCGGCUCAACCGCGGGUCUGCAGUCGAUACGGGCAGGCUAGAGUUCGGUAGGGGAGACUGGAAUUCCUGGUGUAGCGGUGAAAUGCGCAGAUAUCAGGAAGAACACCGAUGGCGAAGGCAGGUCUCUGGGCCACUACUGACGCUGAGAAGCGAAAGCAUGGGGAGCGAACAGG
rnacentral:rRNA from 1 species